GCCUGGCCCAGCCCUAGCUAUUGCGGGCAUUUGAGGAGUAAACCAACGGAUGAUCAUGUUCUAUCUCUAUGUCUCUUUUAAAAAAAAAAAAAGUUUAUAGCUAGAAUCCUCUUCUCCACAUCUUCCAUGUGGUAAACAGAGAGGUAGAUUUUUCUUGUUUCCCUACCUGCGGCUCACAACAAGCUGUUCUCAGAGGUUGGGGUGGCUGCAGUGACACGGAGUUGCCCCUUUGAAGCAGACCUGGUGAUUCUAAAAGGCAGUUUAGAAUGUGAGUAUGUAACUCAUCAGCUCCAAUCCCAGUGUCAGCUGGGGCAGCAGCUACACGAGGCUUAACUAGGGCUGGCAGACCCACUCGUGUACUGAGUCACGUGAUGGCUGGGUCAUAGUCCAGAUUCAGUAUGGGCCGAUUCUAUUAAAAGCACCUAGGAAGCAGUACAACUACAGAGCCAAAAUACGUGAUCUUUUGUAAGGUUUAUAACUCACAGUGUGGCACUGCUUAUUUCAUCCACUGCAAGCAUCAAUAAGAUUUGAAUUUUGGAAACAGAAGAGUUUAAAUUGAUGGCAUUUCUACCUACUUCAUUUAUCAAAUAUUUAUCAAGAAACUCUAUGUCCCCAGCACAGUCUGGACAUUUAAAACCAGCAGUGAAAUAAGAAUGGCUAAUUCCCUGCUCUCUGACAGUACACGUUUCAGCAGAGGGAGACAGAGAGAAAACAGGUGAGUGAAGAGGUAUCCUGCAACAGGUAGUGGUAAGUACGAAGGAGAAAUACAGCCAGUGUCUGAGAGGGUGGGAUGCAGUUUUAAGUAGAGUGGUUGGGGAAAGCCUCACCAAGAAGGCAGCCCUCUGCAAGACCUGCAGGAAGUGAGGUCCUUCCAAGGGAAGAGCAUUUCAAAGAAACCAAGGGAAGCAAAACUCUGUGGUGGGACAUGUGUGGCAUGUGUGAGGAGCAGCGGCAAGGCCAAUGUGGCUGGGGAAAGUGAGCAAGGGAGGGUGGAGCCGGAUACGGCAUCAGAGAGGCAAAGGGAGAGCACAGAAACCCUACAGGAGCUUGGGCUACCUCAAGGACUUUGGCCUUGACUCUGGCAGAUGGGAAACGGCUGGGCAGUGUUGAGAAGGAUGACAUGAUCUUGGCUUGCAAAGAGAUCAGCAUGGUCACUGUGCAAAGGCUGUUUCUGCAAUUCAAGGACGAGAUGACGAUGGCCGUGACGAUGUGAGGGGCAGCAAUGAGGAGUGGGUGGAAUCUGGAUAUUUGUCAUGUGAAAUCAACAAGAUUUGCAUAUAGAUGUGAGAGAGAUGCAAGAGAAUAAUCAAAAAUGACUCCAAGUGAUUGGUCAGAGUGAGAGAAAGCCUGAAGUUACUGAGAGGCUCCGGGAGGCAUUUCACACAUUCAGCAAUGGGUAAUCAAAUAUGAGAAGCUUGCUUCUUGGCUAUCUAAGCAGUAGUGGAGAGCAAACAAUUUGCUUUAAGAUUCAUCUCUGUCCUCUGUAGAUUCCUUGUACCUGCUUGCUUCUAUAGCCGAGGCAUUCUUCAACUGCUGUUUUAACCAAGCUUGACUGUGAACGUCUACAAGAGGUCUAGAACCUCAAUACUACUUUUAG